UUGGUUUGGGGGGUUGCUUUCCAGGACUUGGUUUGUGGGAGGGGUUGCUUUCCAGGACUUGGUUUGUGGGAGGGGUUGCUUUCCAGGACUUGGUUUGGGGGGGGUUGCUUUCCAGGACUUGGUUUGUGGGAGGGGUUGCUUUCCAGGACUUGGUUGUGGGAGGGGUUGCUUUCCAGGACUUGGUUGUGGGAGGGGUUGCUUUCCAGGACUUGGUUGUGGGAGGGGUUGCUUUCCAGGACUUGGUUGUGGGAGGGGUUGCUUUCCAGGACUUGGUUGUGGG
ensembl:lncRNA